rnacentral:rRNA from 1 species
GACGAACGCUGGCGGCGUGCUUAUCACAUGCAAGUCGAACGGUGAAGGGACCGGUUUUUGCUGGUUCUGGAUGAGUGGCGAACGGGUGAGUAACACGUGAGUAACCUGCCCCCUUCUUCUGGAUAACCGCAUGAAAGUGUGGCUAAUACGGGAUAUUCUGCGCCUGCUGCAUGGUGGGUGUGGGAAAGAUAUUGUUUCGGUGGGGGAUGGGCUCGCGGCCUAUCAGCUUGUUGGUGGGGUGAUGGCCUACCAAGGCGGUGACGGGUAGCCGGCCUGAGAGGGUGGACGGUCACACUGGGACUGAGACACGGCCCAGACUCCUACGGGAGGCAGCAGUGGGGAAUAUGGCACAAUGGGCGCAAGCCUGAUGCAGCGACGCCGCGUGAGGGAUGGAGGCCUUCGGGUUGUAAACCUCUUUCGCCAGUGAAGCAGGCCUGUCCCUUUUGUGGGUGGGUUGACGGUAGCUGGAUAAGAAGCGCCGGCUAACUACGUG